CUCUAAGGAGGCAAAGCUCCAGCUGCAGCACUCUCACUAACACUAACUCACACUUACGCAACACUUACACACACGCAUCCUGCUACUUUUGUGGUGUUAAAUGGCGACGUUUCUGACCUUCUGCAUUUCAAUAACCACAUUUUGUACUACUCUCAAAGGGAGAGCUAUGCUAAGAGAUGGAUCACUUGCUGAAAGGGACCUCGAUUUGAAAAUCCUAGUUCUAGACCAGAAUGACUACAGCCCUGUGUUUAAGGUGACAAAGACACCCCCGUAACUGAAAUCACAGCUUUCGAUGGAGAUGAGCAAGUCACAAAAAGGCAGAAGUCAUAAUCACUAUUGUAAGUUCAUCAACAGCCUUGUUGAAAGUGAGUCAUUCCAGAAAGAGAAACCUGUCUGGUGUAAAGGUAAGACGUAAAAUACAAGACAAUUUAGUUAGAGAAGUUUAGAAUCUGAGCUUCAUACAAUCUGAGCUUUAUUAUUCAAGGCUUUCUUAUAUAGUUUGAGAAUUAUGGA